rnacentral:rRNA from 1 species
GAUGAACGCUGGCGGCGUGCCUAAUACAUGCAAGUCGAGCGAAGCGGGGACGGGUGCGUAACAGGUAGAUAACCUCCUAUAAGACUGGGAUAACGUCGGGAAACCGGAGCUAAAACGGCUGCUUAGAUAUGGAUCAGCGCUGCAUUAGCUAGUUGGUAAGGUAACGGCGUACCAAGGCAACGAUGCAUAGCCGACCUGAAGGGGUGAUCGGCCACACGUGAACUGAUACACGGUCCAGACUCCUACGGGAGGCAGCAGUAGGGAAUCUUCGGAAAGUGUCGAAAGCCUGACGGAGCAACGCCGCGUGAGUGAUGAAGUUCUUCGGAUCUUAAAACUCUGUUAUUAGGGAAGCGGUAUCUAAUCAGAAAGCCACGGCUAACUACGUGCCAGCAGCCGCGGUAAUAC